rnacentral:rRNA from 1 species
UCAAGUCAGCACGGCCCUUACGUCCAGGGCGACACACACGCUACAAUGGCACGGACAACGGGCUGCGAACCCGCGAGGGGGAGCCAAUCCCAGCAAACCGUGCCUCAGUACAGAUUGCAGGCUGCAACCCGCCUGCAUGAAGACGGAGUUGCUAGUAACCGCAGGUCAGCACUACUGCGGUGAAUACGUUCCCGGGCCUU